CAGUCGCCGCGGUAAUACGUAGGUCCCGAGCGUUGUCCGGAAUGAUUGGGCGUAAAGCGAGCGCAGGCGGUUAGAUAAGUCUGAAGUUAAAGGCUGUGGCUUAACCAUAGUACGCUUUGGAAACUGUUUAACUUGAGUGCAAGAGGGGAGAGUGGAAUUCCAUGUGUAGCGGUGAAAUGCGUAGAUAUAUGGAGGAACACCGGUGGCGAAGGCGGCUCUCUGGCUUGUAGCUGACGCUGAGGCUCGAAAGCGUGGGGAGCAAACAGGAUUAGAUACCCCUGUAGUCCCUGUCUCUUAUACA
rnacentral:rRNA from 1 species